AAGAGCCUGGUUCAUACAGACAGACAGCGUAAUUUGGCUACUGAGUGAGCAGAUGCCAAUGUGCGGGACAAGAGCUAUUCUGGACCCCUGCCUAUCUUCAACCGCAGCCAGCACGCACAUGUCAUUGAAGAUCUACACUGCAACCUGUGUGACGUGGAUGUGUGAGUGCAUGAGUGAGUGCGCGAUCCAAACACUGCAGUGCCUGCAAUAAAUGUGUAUGUGGCUUCGAUCAUCAUUGCAAGUGGCUUAACAACUGCGUGGGCGAGAGGAACUACCGGUGAGAAUCUGCUGGGGCCUGCAUGGGGCUGGCAGUGGGUGGGGAUGUGCACCCGCUGAGAAGAUGAUACUUGGGAUGGCAGAGGAUGGACUCAGAGCCUGCCAUCCUAUUGUUCCUGGCUAAGAUGGUGAGCCUGAGAAGUGGAUGCUUUCAUAGAGUUUUCAGACUCCAUGCCUGUGACUUCUGAGGGGUUGGGCGUCUGGAGCCUGGCUUCUUAGUAAGCCUGAGCUCCUGAGUGCUGCUGACAGCUGUCCAUGGUUGGGCCAGGCUCUUUCUACACAGUGUGGCAUCUGCUUUACUGGGUGUUCUGCUCCUGGUGCUGGUGGCCACUUAUGUCUUUGUGGAGUUCUUUGUCAACCCCAUGCGCCUUCGCACCAACCAACACUUUGAAGGUCAGUGUGGAUUCUAGACAGAUUUGUUUUAGUUAGUGCACCUAUGACCUCUGGCUAAGCAUAGUCUGCCUGUGC
rnacentral:lncRNA from 1 species